rnacentral:lncRNA from 1 species
GAUUAGGUGAAGGACGAAAAUGAAGAUUUCUCUCUCUUCUUCGUUCCCUCACACGGAGAUAGAGAUGUGAUGAAGCCUUUCCUUUUCGCCGGUUUGUUUUCUGGCGCCUUUCAACCGGUUUCGGGUUCUUCAACCGGUCCAUGUUUCCGGAGACGCGUCUUCUCUUCGUGGUCUGCCAGCUUUGCCUCCAGCGUCCUCGUCUUCUCUUCCGGUGAGGGACGUCCGGCUUUGUCUCCGCGUCACCCUUCUUGGUGUCGACGGCGGCCCUUCACCGGAGUUCUCCCAGUUUAUUUGAUCAGCGCUUCUCUCAGCUUCUUCGCUCAACCGUUUCUCCUCUCUUCCCCUACGAUCGAUUCUUUUUCCCUUGAUUAGGGUAAAUCAGAGGCCGUAGGUUGGAUUGAAGAUGACUGAUUCCAGUUUUGAAGCGUUGAUCUGGUAUGCGAUUUGGCUCGUUGAAAAGAUGGCCUUGUGUGAGCGAUUUUU